UAGAGAAUCUUGCACAAUGGGCGAAAGCCUGAUGCAGCCACGCCGCGUGAGGGAAGAAGGCUCUAGAGUUGUAAACCUCUUUCAGCAGUGAAGAAGCGCAAGUGACGGUAACUGCAGAAGAAGCCCCGGCCAACUACGUGCCAGCAGCCGCGGUAAUACGUAGGGGGCGAGCGUUGUCCGGAAUCAUUGGGCGUAAAGCGCGUGUAGGCGGUCCAGUAAGUCGGAUGUGAAAUCUCAGGGCUCAACCCUGAAACUGCAUCCGAUACUGCUGGACUUGAGGAAGGUAGAGGAGAGUGGAAUUUCCGGUGUAGCGGUGGAAUGCGCAGAUAUCGGAAGGAACACCGAUGGCGAAGGCAGCUCUCUGGGCCUUACCUGACGCUGAGACGCGAAAGCAUGGGUAGCGAACAGGAUUAGAUACCCCCGUAGUCC
rnacentral:rRNA from 1 species